UGAGACCUUCCUGCAGGGCCACAGCAAGCAAAGGGUUUACAAUUUGUUUAGAUUUCGACCUCAAAUGGGAAGAUCAUAUCAUUUUCCUAAUACCUUGUGGAAUUAUCAUGAGGAUUACAAAAUCGAAUGCGUGGAAAAUAGGUCAGAUCCUAGCAUAUGAUAAGUAUGUAUUUGUUAUUAUUUUCACUCCUGUAAAAAUUCUGGGCUUCACUUGUCUGGGACCCUAUGUUUCUAUCCCUGUAUCAAUCCAGCAUCCCAAGAAUUUGUGGAAGAGGAGCAAAGGAGGAUUGGAAGUCAGAGUUACAUUAUUUAAAGGUUUUGGGACUCGAACUGGCUUCCUUGCUUCUCAGCUUGCAGAUGGCCUACUGUGGGAGUUCACCUUGUGGUCAUAUUGUGAGUUGCCUGAAUCUGUGCCUCUGUUUUGUAAUCAUGAGUUCCUAGCCUAGGAUAUGGCUCCAGAUGUGAAAACUGAGCCAUAGAGAGAUGGACAAAAACGCCAAUGUGAUUUAACCUGUACUUCUUGAAGCCAGAAUGUGUACCUGUGCAAUCAAAUAUCAGCAUCUGUGCUCUUAACCA
rnacentral:lncRNA from 1 species